CAAGUCGAGCGGAAAGGCCUCUACAAUUUGCUGGAACGAGACAGGUCGUGACUACGAAGUAGUCACAUCACUCAACGAAGUGAUGAACGAUCUGAAUCAUACAAAUCAAGCAAAUCGUAGAGGUACUCGAGCGGCGGACGGCAGAGUAACGCGUAGGAACAUACCCCAAACUGAGGGAUAACUGCCCGAAAGGGUAGCUAAUACCGCAUGUGAUCUUCGGAUUAAAGCUUCGGCGGUUUGGGAAUGGCCUGCGUUGGAUUAGCUUGUUGGUGAGGUAAAAGCUCACCAAGGCGACGAUCCAUAACUGGUCUGAGAGGAUGAUCAGUCUGACUGGAACUGAGACACGGUCCAGACUCCUACGGGAGGCAGCAGUAGGGAAUUUUCCACAAUGGGCGAAAGCCUGAUGGAGCAACGCCGCGUGCAGGAUGAAGGCCUUCGGGUCGUAAACUGCUUUUAUGUGCGAAGAAUAUGACUGUAACACAUGAAUAAGGGACGGCUAACUACGUGCCAGCAGCCGCGGUCAUACGUAGGUCCCAAGCGUUAUCCGGAAUUACUGGGCGUAAAGAGUUGCGUAGGUGGCACUAUAAGUGGAGCGUGAAAGCGUGCGGCUCAACCGCAUUACUGCGUUCCAAACUGUAGAGCUUGAGUAUGAUAGGGGUAACUGGAAUUUCUAGUGUAGGAGUGAAAUCCGUAGAUAUUAGAAGGAACACCGAUAGCGUAGCAGGUUACUGGAUCAUUACUGACACUAAGGCACGAAAGCGUGGGGAGCAAACGGGGUUAGAUACCCCGGUAGUCCACGCCGUAAACUAUGGGAUGCUAGCUGUUGCACAUAUCGACCUGUGCAGUAGCGAAGUUAACGCGUUAAGCAUCCCGCCUGGGGAGUACGGUCGCAAGAUUAAAACUCAAAGGAAUUGACGGGGACCCGCACAAGCGGUGGAGCGUGUUGUUUAAUUCGAUGGUAAGCGAAGAGCUUACCCAGGCUUGACAUCCUGCUAAGGCUCUCGAAAGAGACUGUGCCUUCGGGAAAGCAGUGACAAGUGAUGCAUGGCCGUCGUCAGCUCGUGUCGUGAGAUGUAUGGUUAAGUCCAUUAACGAGCGCACCUUAUGUUUAGUUGAUUUUUUCUAACAGACUGCCCUUGUAACAGGGAGGAAAGGAGGGGGAUGAUGUCAGGUCAGUUAUUUUUCUUUA
rnacentral:rRNA from 1 species